AUUAAAAAAAAAGGGUGAAAAGGAAAAAGUUUUGUCCAUCUUUGUUCAUCAUAGCCUAAAGUUAGAGAAGAGAAAGGAGAGGAGAAAGCUCUUAAAUGUUCGGUCACUUGGGGAAGAAAAUUAAAGGAAAUCCCCAACCAUAGUGGGCUUGGAGCUAUGAGGGAAUUCGGAGUGGCCACCCGUUCUGAAAGUUUGGUUUUCUUCUGGUGAACUGGACAUCCUAUUAUUUACGUUGAGGUUUGGGUUUUUAAAUGUAAUAAGGCCGCUUAAUUAUUUUUGAUGGUUUUAAUAUGUAUUACUAAGAUAGGUAUUACUUAUUUUAACUGUUGAAAUUGGAUA